rnacentral:rRNA from 1 species
UGGGGAAUAUUGCGCAAUGGGGGAAACCCUGACGCAGCGAUGCCUCGUGAGUGAUGACGUCUUUCGGGAUGUAAAGCUCUGUCGAGAGGGAAGAUAAUGACGGUACCUCUAAAGGAAGCUCCGGCUAACUACGUGCCAGCAGCCGCGGUAAUACGUAGGGAGCAAGUGUUAUCCGGAUUCAUUGGGCAUAAAGCGCACGCAGGCGUUGACUUAAGUCAGAUGUUAAAUUUCACAGCUUAACUGUGUACUGCAUUUGAUACUGAGUCAAUAGAGAUCAGGAGAGGGAAGCGGAACUCAUGGUGUAGCGGUGAAAUGCGUAGAUAUCAUGAGGAACACCAGUGGCGAAGGCGGCUUCCUGGACUGAAUCUGACGCUCAGGUGCGAAAGCGUGGGGAGCGAACGGG